GGGUGACUGCGUACCUUUUGUAUAAUGGGUCAGCGACUUAUAUUCUGUAGCAAGGUUAACCGUAUAGGGGAGCCGCAGGGAAACCGAGUCUUAACUGGGCGUUAAGUUGCAGGGUAUAGACCCGAAACCCGGUGAUCUAGCCAUGGGCAGGUUGAAGGUUGGGUAACACUAACUGGAGGACCGAACCGACUAAUGUUGAAAAAUUAGCGGAUGACUUGUGGCUGGGGGUGAAAGGCCAAUCAAACCGGGAGAUAGCUGGUUCUCCCCGAAAGCUAUUUAGGUAGCGCCUCGUGAAUUCAUCUUCGGGGGUAGAGCACUGUUUCGGCUAGGGGGUCAUCCCGACUUACCAACCCGAUGCAAACUACGAAUACCGAAGAAUGUUAUCACGGGAGACACACGGCGGGUGCUAACGUCCGUCGUGAAGAGGGAAACAACCCAGACCGCCAGCUAAGGUCCCAAAGUCAUGGUUAAGUGGGAAACGAUGUGGGAAGGCCCAGACAGCCAGGAUGUUGGCUUAGAAGCAGCCAUCAUUUAAAGAAAGCGUAAUAGCUCACUGGUCGAGUCGGCCUGCGCGGAAGAUGUAACGGGGCUAAACCAUGCACCGAAGCUGCGGCAGCGACACUAUGUGUUGUUGGGUAGGGGAGCGUUCUGUAAGCCGUUGAAGGUGGCCUGUGAGGGUUGCUGGAGGUAUCAGAAGUGCGAAUGCUGACAUAAGUAACGAUAAUGCGGGUGAAAAACCCGCACGCCGGAAGACCAAGGGUUCCUGUCCAACGUUAAUCGGGGCAGGGUGAGUCGACCCCUAAGGCGAGGCCGAAAGGCGUAGUCGAUGGGAAACAGGUUAAUAUUCCUGUACUUGGUGUUACUGCGAAGGGGGGACGGAGAAGGCUAUGUUGGCCGGGCGACGGUUGUCCCGGUUUAAGCAUGUAGGCGGAUGUUCCAGGUAAAUCCGGAGCGUCACUAACGCUGAGGUGUGAUGACGAGGCACUACGGUGCUGAAGUGACAAAUGCCCUGCUUCCAGGAAAAGCCUCUAAGCAUCAGGUAACAUCAAAUCGUACCCCAAACCGACACAGGUGGUCAGGUAGAGAAUACCAAGGCGCUUGAGAGAACUCGGGUGAAGGAACUAGGCAAAAUGGUGCCGUAACUUCGGGAGAAGGCACGCUGAUGGUAGGUGAAGUGACUUGCUCAUGGAGCUGAAAUCAGUCGAAGAUACCAGCUGGCUGCAACUGUUUAUUAAAAACACAGCACUGUGCAAACACGAAAGUGGACGUAUACGGUGUGACGCCUGCCCGGUGCCGGAAGGUUAAUUGAUGGGGUUAUCCUCGCGGAGAAGCUCUUGAUCGAAGCCCCGGUAAACGGCGGCCGUAACUAUAACGGUCCUAAGGUAGCGAAAUUCCUUGUCGGGUAAGUUCCGACCUGCACGAAUGGCGUAAUGAUGGCCAGGCUGUCUCCACCCGAGACUCAGUGAAAUUGAACUCGCUGUGAAGAUGCAGUGUACCCGCGGCAAGACGGAAAGACCCCGUGAACCUUUACUAUAGCUUGACACUGAACACUGGUCCUUGAUGUGUAGGAUAGGUGGGAGGCUUUGAAGUGUGGACGCCAGUCUGCAUGGAGCCAUCCUUGAAAUACCACCCUUUAAUGGCUGGUGUUCUAACGUGGGCCCGUGAUCCGGGUUGCGGACAGUGUCUGGUGGGUAGUUUGACUGGGGCGGUCUCCUCCUAAAGAGUAACGGAGGAGCACGAAGGUCAGCUAAUCCUGGUCGGACAUCAGGAGGUUAGUGCAAUGGCAUAAGCUGGCUUGACUGCGAGCGUGACGGCGCGAGCAGGUGCGAAAGCAGGUCAUAGUGAUCCGGUGGUUCUGAAUGGAAGGGCCAUCGCUCAACGGAUAAAAGGUACUCCGGGGAUAACAGGCUGAUACCGCCCAAGAGUUCAUAUCGACGGCGGUGUUUGGCACCUCGAUGUCGGCUCAUCACAUCCUGGGGCUGAAGUAGGUCCCAAGGGUAUGGCUGUUCGCCAUUUAAAGUGGUACGCGAGCUGGGUUUAGAACGUCGUGAGACAGUUCGGUCCCUAUCUGCCGUGGGCGCUGGAGAAUUGAGGGGGGCUGCUCCUAGUACGAGAGGACCGGAGUGGACGCAUCACUGGUGUUCGGGUUGUCAUGCCAAUGGCAUUGCCCGGUAGCUAAAUGCGGAAGAGAUAAGUGCUGAAAGCAUCUAAGCACGAAACUUGCCCCGAGAUGAGUUCUCCCUGACUCCUUGAGAGUCCUGAAGGAACGUUGAAGACGACGACGUUGAUAGGCCGGGUGUGUAAGCGCAGCGAUGCGUUGAGCUAACCGGUACUAAUGAACCGUGAGGCUUAACCUUACAACGCCGAAG
rnacentral:rRNA from 1 species